GUCAUUAGCGACAUAAUUGCAAUUGUUACAGUCGCCGCCUAGUACAAUCAUUCCACCAUGACGAGACCUGUUGUUUCCAGCACAUUUAUAAAAUUUCAGAGAUAUUGAUGAUGACGAUUCAACGUUUGGCAAUAGGAGAGGGACUCCAGUACCACCACCAAAGAUGUGUACUUUGGGCUUUAGGAGAGUCUCUUUGUUCAAGUUUGGUUGAAGGUAAGUGAUAUUUAAAUUUUCAAUGCUCUCGUAAAUGUUCCCCAAGCUGCCCACCAUUCCUUGCUUUGUGAGAAGCGCAAUGAAAGUUCCGACGGGCAGGGCCAGAAUGUGAAAGAGGAAGUCGAUGAAGUUCUUG